GGGAGGUGGAAGCACAGCAAAAUGCAAAUUUGAAGAAGCACCCAUUAAGGUGCCCCGGCU
rnacentral:tRNA from 1 species